UACGAGGGGGGCGAGCGUUGUUCGGAAUUACUGGGCGUAAAGGGCGCGUAGGCGGCCUGUUAAGUCGAACGUGAAAUCCCCGGGCUCAACCCGGGAACUGCGUCCGAUACUGGCAGGCUUGAAUCCGGGAGAGGGAUGCGGAAUUCCAGGUGUAGCGGUGAAAUGCGUAGAUAUCUGGAGGAACACCGGUGGCGAAGGCGGCAUCCUGGACCGGUAUUGACGCUGAGGCGCGAAAGCCAGGGGAGCGAACAGG
rnacentral:rRNA from 1 species